rnacentral:rRNA from 1 species
GAUGAACUCUGGCGGCGUGCUUAAUACAUGCAAGUCGAACGAAGCACCUUGGACAGAAUCCUUCGGGAGGGAGACCAUUGUGACUGAGUGGCGGACGGGUGAGUAACGCGUGGGUAACCUGCCUUGUACGGGGGGAUAACAGUUGGAAACGACUGCUAAUACCGCAUAAGCGCACAGUACCGCAUGGUACGGUGUGAAAAACUCCGGUGGUACAAGAUGGACCCGCGUCUGAUUAGCUUGUUGGUGAGGUAACGGCCCACCAAGGCGACGAUCAGUAGCCGACUUGAGAGAGUGAUCGGCCACAUUGGGACUGAGACACGGCCCAAACUCCUACGGGAGGCAGCAGUAGGGAAUAUUGCACAAUGGGGGAAACCCUGAUGCAGCGACGCCGCGUGAAGGAAGAAGUAUUUCGGUAUGUAAACUUCUAUCAGCAAGGAAGAAAAUGACGGUACUUGACUAAGAAGCCCCGGCUAAAUACGUGCCAGCAGCCGCGGUAAUACGUAUGGGGCAAGCGUUAUCCGGAUUUACUGGGUGUAAAGGGAGCGUAGGCGGCAUGGCAAGUCAGAAGUGAAAGCCUGGGGCUCAACCCCGGAAUUGCUUUUGAAACUGUCAGGCUAGAGUGUCGGAGGGGUAAGCGGAAUUCCUAGUGUAGCGGUGAAAUGCGUAGAUAUUAGGAGGAACACCGGUGGCGAAGGCGGCUUACUGGACGAUUACUGACGCUAAGGCUCGAAAGCGUGGGGAGCAC